rnacentral:rRNA from 1 species
GAGGAAGCCCCGGCUAACUACGUGCCAGCAGCCGCGGUAAUACGUAGGCGGCGAGCGUUAUCCGGAUUUACUGGACGUAAAGAGGGCGUAGGCGGUUUUUCAAGUCGAUUGUAAAAUCUCCCGGCUUAACUGGGAGGGGCCAGUCGAUACUGUUAGACUAGAGGGCAGCAGGGGGAGGUGGAAUUCCCGGUGUAGUGGUGGAAUACAUAGAUAUCGGGAGGAACACCAGUGGCGAANGCGGCCUCCUAGGCUGUUUCUGACGCUGAGGUCCGAAAGCGUGGGGGAGCAAACAGACUUAGAUACUCUGGUAGUCCACGCUGUAAACGAUGGACACUAGNUAUAGGGAGUAUCGACCCUCUCUGUGCCGAAGCUAACGCAUUAAGUGUCCCGCCUGGGGACUACGGCCGCAAGGCUAAAACUCAAAGGAAUUGACGGGGGCCCGCACAAGCAGCGGAGCGUGUGGUUUAAUUCGAUGCAACGCGAAGAACCUUACCAAGGCUUGACAUGUCGGAAGUAGCGACCCGAAAGGGAAGCCACCUGUUGAGUCAGGAACCGUCACAGGUGCUGCAUGGCUGUCGUCAGCUCGUGCUGUGAAGUGUUAGGUUAAGUCCUAUAACGAGCGCAACCCUCAUUGUCAGUUGUUUUCUCUGGCGAGACCGCCCUGCAAAAUGGGGAGGAAGGUGGGGAUGACGUCAAGUCAGCACGGCCCUUAUGCCUUGGGCUACACACACGCUACAAUGGGUGGUACAAUGGGUAGCAAUAGAGCGAUCUGGAGCCAAUCCUAUAAAGCCAUCCUCAGUUCGGAUUGCAGGCUGAAACCCGCCUGCAUGAAGUCGGAGUUGCUAGUAACCGCAGGUCAGCAUACUGCGGUGAAUACGUUCUCGGGCCUUGUACACACCGCCCGUCACGUCAUGAAAGUUGGCAACACCUGAAGUCGAUGGGCUAACCCCGACUUGUCGGGGGGGUAGUCGCCGAGGGUGGGGUUAAUGAUUGGGACGAAGUCGUAACAAGGUAACCUUAAUUAAAA